CAGCCGCCGCGGGAAUACGAAGGGUGCAAGCGUUAAUCGGAAUUACUGGGCGUAAAGCGUGCGUAGGCGGUUUCUUAAGUCUGCUGUGAAAUCCCCGGGCUCAACCUGGGAAUGGCAAUGGAUACUGGGAAGCUAGAGUGUGUCAGAGGAUGGUGGAAUUCCCGGUGUAGCGGUGAAAUGCGUAGAGAUCGGGAGGAACAUCAGUGGCGAAGGCGGCCAUCUGGGACAACACUGACGCUGAGGCACGAAAGCGUGGGGAGCAAACAGGAUUAGAUACCCGAGUAGUCCCUGUCUCUUAUAC
rnacentral:rRNA from 1 species